ACAAAGAACAGAAGCGACACACAUCUCCAACCCCACCGGCUCCCUGAGCUCCCUCCCAUCCACCCCUCUGUUCUCACUCUCUCUUUCUCUCUCUCCUCUCGGCCAAGCCCAGCAGCAGCAGAAGCCAGAAGGUAAGCUUCCUCGGUGUCCCAGAGAACGGAGCAGCUGCGCCACGAGCUUCACCAUCGGUCACCGUCUUCUUCCCCUCCAUUCCGAAGCCGAGCUCGCGCGCACUCUACCUUUCUUCCCCACUGUCGGCAACCUCCCGAGUUCGACCCCGCCACCAAGAAGCUCGACACCACCUGCUGCUCCGACAUCUUCCUGACCAAGCCCGCCACUCGGUGUGCUCGCUGCACCCAGAGAAUGAAGAGACGGAGAGCAACGUGGACGUGAUCGAGCAUGAUCCCAAGAUUGUUGCUGUUGAUUGUGAAGUCCAAACUCAAAGCAAUCAUCUAAGCAUGUUGCACCCAUACUUUGGAUCAUAUGUUGUUUUAAUUUGACAAAUUAUGAUAUAUGUAUGUCAUACAUGAUAUCUAGUCAAUGUCAGGUUUUGGGUGUA